rnacentral:rRNA from 1 species
GGAUUCCUACGGGGGGCAGCAGGAGGGAAUCUUCCACAAUGGGUGAAAGCCUGAUGGAGCAACGCCGCGUGGGUGAAGAAGGUCUUCGGAUCGUAAAACCCUGUUGUUAGAGAAGAAAGGGCGUGAGAGUAACUGUUCACGGUUCGACGGUAUCUAACCAGAAAGCCACGGCUAACUACGUGCCAGCAGCCGCGGUAAUACGUAGGUGGCAAGCGUUAUCCGGAUUUAGUGGGCGUAAAGGGAACGCAGGC